GGCCUAUCGCCAUGAGGCAGUACGAUUUUGAAAGUCGUUCGGAAAGGUUCAACUCCUUUAUAGGCCC
rnacentral:tRNA from 1 species